CAUUUUCCAUAAAGAUUAGGCUAUGCUAACUUUCAGUACAUAAGACUUGAAGAUACAUUUGGUGUUGUGUCAUUCUCCUCCCCCUUUCAGUCAUCAAUACUGAAGGUUCAGUUCAUUUUAAAGAGCUUCUCAGUAAAGCGAAUUUAUGACAGCAGAGAGCCCUCUCCUCCCAUCACUUUAUGGACGGGCAUGCGCAAAGCAUGGAUCUAUUUCCAUUGUGCUGAGUUGUGGAAAUAAGACAGCUGACAUUAAAGGUUGUUGUUGCUAGAUUUGAGUAUCAGUCUAACCGAUGAAAAAGACAACUGACUAUCAACUGAUAACACAAGAACUUUUCCAUCAGGAUUUGUGGUUAAAUUGAAUCAAAAUGACAGUGGAAGGUCUGGAGUUUCAGUCUAAAGUCCUGCAGCAAAGUGUUUCUGUCUGUCUGUCUCUGCAGUGUGUCCUGGCUGUGACAUUGUGUGUGUCGUGUCUGUUUGGAUUUGCACUGUGCCUCUACGAUUUCUCCAUAAUGAAAUGUCACCUGUCAGUCAAAACUGGGCUUAUUAAGUAUAUACUGUCCAAGUGUGUGUGUGACUAUGUACUUGUGUGUGUAUGUGUGUGACACCAUAGAGACUGACAGCUGGGCUGAGGUGUCACACUACAAGCUUUCUUUUCAGCCCCAGCGGUCCCACUUUGUAACAGCUCACCUGGAUGACAAGGCUCGAGGUGAUGUCAGCGACUGUAGCAAUACAAGUCAAAUUCA